AUAAGUAAUACACGGUCAUCUAACUGAAAUAAAUUUUCUACGAUUCAAUCUAAUUCUUGGUCAAAUACUAUUGAACACAAAUGAGAAACAUCAACAAGAAAACCAAAAUCUUGAAUACACAAUUUGACCCCUUCAAUUCAAACAUAAUGUACGUAAAACAUGAUAUCUACAAAUUGUAACUCAUGAUGAGUUCUAUAAAAAAACAAAAGCCAAAGCAGCUUAUAUAAUGAACAUUUACCCCCUCCCAUCAACUAUACAAGUAAAGAAAAAUAUUUUCGUUACAAAAAUUCACAAAUUAUCUAUACAAAUAUAAUAAAAAAUUAAUUUUCGAACAAAAAUAAAAACUCUUGACGAAGUGUAUAAAACAAUCAAGGAUCUAUCACAUAUCGGCCCUUGCAUCCACUGUCUUUGUUCAAAAUAGUAAGAAAAGAAGAACAAAAUUCAACAACUAAAAUGUACUUUGGAGUAAUAAAGACGAAAAAUAUUAAAAUCAUAUUCAAUUAAAUAUUUGGAGAUCUUCUAAAAGAAAAUUAAGAGAUAAUUCAGAUAAAUAAAUAUCAGAUGAGGAUUUUUUGGACAAAGAGUUGAAAUACAAAACUAAAGAAUAUAAAGGAAAUUAGGAAAAGAAGAGAUGUAAAGAAAAAGGAAAAAGGGGAGCAGACAAAAUGGAUGGGUAGAGGCAGUGAUUUGAGAAAGGAAAAAAUUUAACUUAACAGACGUGUUUAAGGGGAUUCGAACCUACACCUAGCGCCUAGCACCCUGGCCAUUGACCAACGGAUCAGAGAUGAUAAUGCUACUACUGGUUCCAACCUUUUAUAUAUACCAUAACUCAUUAAAUCCCUAUGUGUAUAUGGAAAUUUUAGCGGAGUGUUUGGAUGUCGUGGCACCCUCACGCUACCACAUAGAUCCACCCCUGGUUUGAAAUUUGGACUCUGGACUCUUUACCAUCAGUCAUUAUGAAGGAAG
rnacentral:lncRNA from 1 species